UGCUGUUGCAUGUCGUCUGCACCUCCGACACCAUUGUUGCCGUCCGCGGUCCGUCGAAGGUAAGGAUAUUUCCAAUCUUUUUUUUUGGUUGAUCGAGCCAUUGGGGGGUGGAGAGGGGGCCGUGGGCGAUCGAAGGCAACACGGGGGCGGGGAGGGGGCCGUGGGCGGCUGGGGAGGGGGUCGAUCAGGGAAGGGGUCGAACGGGGAGGAGUGGGUGACGGCGGGG
rnacentral:lncRNA from 1 species